AUUUAUAUACAUAAAUACACACAUUUGAUGGCAGAGCAUAUGCAUCUUUUGACAUAUAGUUUACUUAUAGUUUUAUGGCAGAGCAUAUAUGCAUGUUGUCAUGUUAUAUGUGAGGAAGUCUGCACUUAGUCGAUCAAAAUUAAGCCCUAACUUUGACUAGGAAAUGGCAUAGCUGUGGGGGCUAUCAUUGGAAUUGUAUUGGCUGGAGCACUUAUUAUUGUCAUGGCGUUUGGUAUAGCUUGGUGGCGAGGAUGUUUACGACAAAAAAGUUCAUUAUAUAGAGACCUACAUGGUUUGGAUCUAAAAACUGGCAUAUUUACCUUAAGGCAUAUCAAAGCUGCAACAAACAACUUUAGUGUUUCCUGCAAGAUAUAUUUACCUUAAGUGACAAUUGCAAUAAAGGCAAAGAGAAAACUCAAUUGAAAUUGGACUGGUCAACAAGGCGCAAGAUUUGUAUAGGCGUUGCUAAAGACUUGGCUUACCUCCAUGGAGAGUCAAGAUUAAAAAUAGUUGGUUAGUACCACCAUUGACAAUAUAUUUGGUUUUUGUAGAGUAAUUAGUAAUUGACUCUUUAAUUGAUGUCACUACACUAGAAGGAUAACUUAAUAUUAGUGAUAUUUAAGCAUAGUAAGAAGUGUAUUAUUUUAGUAUUACUAGUUUACAGAGGUUUACUAGUUUACACCUUUUGAAAGUUUUUUUCUGUAUCUUUCAUGAGAAUUGUGAUUCAUUUACGGGUAGCAGGCUGUUAAUCUGUUUUUGAUUGGAUUGGCUUAACUUUAAAGCUUACCAUUGUGUAUUGAAUUUAGUUGGAUUA